rnacentral:lncRNA from 1 species
CCUUUGAGGCAGCGCCGGCGCCAGGGGGAAAUUCUGACGCCGAGGUGUGCGAGGGGCCCGCGGGCACGCCUCGCCUCUGCUGCAGCCGCGUGUGAAAGCCCCCCCAGCGGGGGCCCCGGCGCCACGCCCACCGCCCGCCCCGGCCACCACCCGGCCCGCGACCCGCCGGGACUUCAGGCCCGCUNNNNNNNNNNNNNNNNNNNNNNNNNNNNNNNNNNNNNNNNNNNNGCGCGCGGGGGCGGGGCUGCGCUCGACUCUGGGGCGGGGCCGCGGUGGAUCGGCGUCGCCUGUGGGCGGCCGGAGGGACCGGAGGACCUGCUGGCCGCCGUGGGGCCGCCGUGGGGCCGCCGGGGCAGCGCGGUGACCCUGCGAACUUCCGGCGGAGUUUGCGGCCGGCGUAGGCGAGGCCGGAAGCCGACCCUUCCCACCUCCGCCUCCCAGAUUGGUUCCGGUGGCGGCCGCCGGCUGCAGGCCGCUGGUCCGCGGCGGCGGCGGCGGCGGCUCCAGGACCAGCUGCGGGGCCCCGUCUCCCUGGCUUUGUGGAAGGCCCCGCUCGGCGCUGCCGCUCCCGCCAUUUUCUGGCCAGCAGCGGGAGUAGGAUCGGAUGACGGUGUCCAUCUGGGGUCAUCAAAAGCGAUAAAAGCACCUUUCGUAUGUGAAACGGGGGCAGCCCGGCCUGCCCGGAGCUUGCGGAGAACCCGGAGGCUUGGAGGGUGUGAAGGCUGUUGGCAUGGUGUCCUAUCUAGAGAUGCCGCACAAGGCAGCCAGACUCAUUCAAGAAGCGUUGAGGGCCUGUCAUGUGCACAGCCCUGCUCCGGGUGCCCCCGGAUACAGCAGUGAAAAAAAAUCAGUGUUCCCUCUGAUGGAGCUCAUGUCCGUGAGAGUGGGAGAAGACAAACAAUAAGCAAUACAUGCAAAUGACUCUAUGUGCCAGCGGGUAAUAUGUACCAUACAGGAAAGCAGAAGGGUGAGAGGAGAUGGAGAAUAACAGGGAGAGGAGGAAACCCGAGUGAGAUGAUGGGACAAGUCAUCUAGAAAAUGAGAGGAUGAGAUUUUAGAUGAACAAGCCACAAAGAAGGCCCCUGAAGCAGGCAUGUGUUUCCUCCAUCAAAGUAACAGCAAGGAAGGCUGCCUUGAGGGGAGUAGAGUAGAAGGAUGCAAAAUGGGAGAAGUAAUGGGUCAGAUCAUGUGCACAUGUGCAUCAGACAUUCAAUAAAUGCUCCUGAAUCAAAUUUAUUGAAUUGAUA